UUUAGAGUGAGGUUAUGACUUUAACGGGAGGAGGAGCACGUGAUUUUAACGUGCUCUUAGAACAAAGGAGCAAACAUUUCAGUGAGGGAGUAAACAGACACCUGAGGGAGAGAGGUUCCAGGUAAACAGCACGUGCAAAAGUCCUGGGGCAGGACUGGGCCUGGCCUGGCCUGUCGGAAGCACAUUGAGUCGUGAUUGGCUGGAGCAGAGAGGGUGGCAGAGCGGAGGGGGCAGGGGAAGGUCGUGCAGGGCCUUGCAGGCCAAGGACUUGGGCUUUACCCCCCGCCCCCCAGGACCUGACGCGGGUGCUCAGGGGCGCCCUCCAGUGGCCGCCACGGGAGGACGGGGAGGGGCUGGAGCAGGUCCAGGCAGAUGAUGAUGGGGGCGGGGUGGGUGGCCGCAGACCUGGGAGAGACUUUAAACUGAUUCAACCCCGACGUUUUUAGGCUGAGCUCCUGGAAUGAGAGUUCCCCCGCUAAGUUUGGGGCACCUCACCAGUGUCUAAUUGGAGAUGGGGCAGGGCAGCCGGACCCCGAGUCUGCAGCUGGGACCAGCCUGCCUGGGCAUGGGGUGGGGGGGUAGCUGGGUCUCUGACAGUUCCCAGAACGGGCCGGGCUGUCAGACCCUGCGGGGAGAGGGAAGACAGACACUAUGACGGGUCUGGGGACAGGAGAGGCUGAGCUGCCGGCGCAGGAGGGACAGGCUGGCAGGGUACGCUGCUGCCCACCAUCAACAACAUCCUAAUGGAAGGGAGUCCGGGCCAGGACCUGCCCCUGCCCUCCUCCCUCUCUCGCGGUCACUCACUCCGCUCCAGCCAGAGGGGCUUCCUUGCCACUCCUCCAAGGAGCUCACAGGGAACUGCCCCAGGACCUUUGCACGGGCGGCAUCCUCUGCCUGAAGUACCUUCCUCCAGAGGCCCCUGGCCGGCUCCACCAGUAGAGCGCAUGACUCUGGAUCUCGGGGUUGAGAAGUUUGAGCCCACACUGGGUACAGAGAUAACUUAAAAAUUGAGUCUUUGGCGACGCCUGGAUGGCUCAGCGGUUGAGUGUCUGCCUUUGGCUCGGGUUGUGACCCGGGGUCCCGGGAUCGAGUCCCACAUCAGGCGCCCCACAG